UCAAUUGAACCUUAAACCGCAAAUUUCAUCGGAUGAAUCAAUUGAACAUUAAACCGCAAGUUUCAUCGGUUCAAUCUCCAAUCCAAUUUUUAAAAUAUAUUUAUCUAUCGCUAAAUAAGUGUUUCAUUAAGAGAGUACCAAUCAAUUCUUUGACUCUAACGUCAGACUUUGAGGCUGCUUUAAAUUCCAGCAUGGCGUUCCCUUUUUUAAAGAAAGCAAGGUCUAAUAUAAAACCUUCAAAAUUUUAAUGUAUGAUCUUAUAUAAUUGCUCAAAUAAAUAAGUUAAUCAACAAAAGUUAUAAAUAAAUUCUAAUCAAAUCUUUAUUUGUAUGUCAAAUGUCAACCAACUAUUAACUACCUCAAAUAAAUAUAUUUUUCUCUUUCCCCCCAAAACCAACUCUCUCUCUCAUUUUCUCUCACUCUCUCUGAUUUCUCACUUUCCGUUUUCUUUGCUUUCCUCCACGAGCCCUAAAUCUGUCGCAGUUCUCUUUCUCAGUUUUCUCUAUUUUCUUUAAUAAACCCUAAAUUCACCGCUGUCCACUUUCUCCCUUUCCCUGAUUGGAAUUUUAUUUCGAUAAAUUUCACUGGUGACAACUGUUUCUCUAUCUCACUGAUUGGUAUCACAGGUUUUUCGAUUCUGAUUUUUUUAUUUGUUUUGUCAUCUCUUUGAUUUUUUAUUUAUUUAUAUCUACUUCUAAUUCUUGGUGGUUUGUUGUUGCUUAUUUUGGUGUAUAUCUUUCCGAAGUAUAUUUAACAUCAUUUUUCAACUUUACUUCUCAUUCAUGAUUGAUUUGUUUGAUUUGUUGUUGUUUAUUUUGUGUCUUGUUAUUCAUUUAUCAGAUUAAAACUUUAUUUUACCUUGUUAUACUUUAUUUUUGGAUUUGUCUUCUCUAUUUGAUUUUGUGAAAUUCAUUGAGGACGACGCUGAUAUCAAAACAUUGACGGAUUAUCUUAAUCCAAAUGAGAUAUACAACAACUCAUUCUUAAUAAUUAUUUUACAAUUGUUCGGUUUCUCUAAUCUAUUGUUUUUUUGGUAUAGUUCAUCAGUUUAGUUUAGUUAGCGGUCAAAAUUGUAGUAAUUCAUACAAGAGGUCUAAAGGGAAAGCAAGAUAUUUUGAGAGAAAAGCAUCUCAAAAUAUUUAUCUUAUAUUUUGUUAAUUUUAUGUCACUUAAAUCAAAUGUUAUUAUAAAUACCGGUUUUUGUAGCAUUGUAGAUUUUGUGAACAUGACAGGAAAGUACAUAGUCCAUACUUGCAGGAAUAUAGAAAGAAUGAGAGUAUAACGAAGAUUAUAGAAAAAAAAUACAACUUUACAGUUGUUAUGUUAUUAAGUUGGAAAGAACAAUAAAUUCUUUAUUAGUUAUCUACUGUAUCUCUAUAAAUUGAAAUUAUAGUUUUGUCUUGUGGCAAGCUAUUAUCAAGUCAAUGUUAUGUUAAAAAUAAUGUUCAAGCUCUUAUUAUUUAUAUAAUCAUUUAGUGAACCCGUGUUUAUUUUAAUUAAUAAAUAAAAGUGUUGAAAAUGUGUGAGAUUGUGCUCAAAUUAGGUAUGUACUUCAACGUGCCAAUUCUUGAGUGUGCCAAAUGAUAAAGUUAAUUUAUUUGAUAGUUGCUAACUUUUUUAAGUAGCAAUAAUGUAGACAAUAUCUAUUUUCCAUUUUACCUAUCGCAAGAUACUUAUUUUAUUUUAAUAUUUUUAUAUAUUGUUUCUUUAAUUAUAAGACAAGUAUAUU
rnacentral:lncRNA from 1 species